rnacentral:rRNA from 1 species
AUGAACGCUGGCGGCGUGCCUAAUACCUGCCAGUCGAGCGAACGGACGAGAAGCUUGCUUUUCUGAUGUUAGCGGCGGACGGGUGAGUAACCCGUGGAUAACCUACCUAUAAGACUGGGAUAACUUCGGGAAACCGGAGCUAAUACCGGAUAAUAUUUUGAACCGCAUGGUUCAAAAGUGAAAGACGGUCUUGCUGUCACUUAUAGAUGGAUCCGCGCUGCAUUGGCUAGUUGGUAAGGUAACGGCUUACCAAGGCAACGAUGCAUAGCCGACCUGAGAGGGUGAUCGGCCACACUGGAACUGAGACACGGUCCAGACUCCUACGGGAGGCAGCAGUAGGGAAUCUUCCGCAAUGGGCGAAAGCCUGACGGAGCAACGCCGCGUGAGUGAUGAAGGUCUUCGGAUCGUAAAACUCUGUUAUUAGGGAAGAACAUAUGUGUAAGUAACUGUGCACAUCUUGACGGUACCUAAUCAGAAAGCCACGGCUAACUACGUG